rnacentral:rRNA from 1 species
CAACAGAGGGAAGCAAAACAGCGACGUGGAGCAAACCCCUAAAAAACGUUCUCAGUUCAGAUUGCAGGCUGCAACCCGCCUGCAUGAAGUCGGAAUUGCUAGUAAUCGCGGAUCAGCAUGCCGCGGUGAAUACGUUCCCGGGCCUUGUACACACCGCCCGUCACACCAUGGGAGCCGGUAAUACCCGAAGUCAGUAGUCCAACCUCGUGAGGACGCUGCCGAAGGUAGGAUUGGCGACUGGGGUGAAGUCGUAACAAGGUACC